GUGCUCACUUUGGCAGCAUAAAUACUAAAACCUGGAAUAAUACAGAGAUUAGCAUGGCCCUUGUGCAUGGAUAACAUGCAAAUUUUGAAGCAUUUCAUAUUUUU